GGGAGGCAUCCUGCGAUAUGCGGAAUUUUAAAAGCCAGAAGGCUGCUCUGAUCCACCGGCCCUGGAACAAAAAACCGCCCCUUUUCCCAGGUAAGCAAAACUCACUAACCCUAGUUCAUGGUGUCAGUUUGCAGGAGGUACUUGGCACUCUCAAACCAGCCCAAGUUGGCACUGGUGCCAGCUUGUUCCUGGGAGGCAUCCUGCGAUAUGCGGAAUUUUAAAAGCCAGAAGGCUGCUCUGAGCCACAGCCCCUAGAACACAAAAACCGCCCCUUUUCCCUGGGAAAUAAAACUCACCAACCCUAGUUGAUGGUGUCAGUUUGCAGGAGGUACUUGGCACUCUCAAACCAGCCCAAGUUGGCACUGGUGCCAGCUUGGUCCUGGGAGGCAUCCUGCGAUAUGCGGAAUUUUAAAAGCCAGAAGGCUGCUCUGAGCCACAGCCCCUAGAACACAAAAACCGCCCCUUUUCCCUGGGAAAUAAAACUCACCAACCCUAGUUGAUGGUGUCAGUUUUCAGGAGGUACUUGGCACUCUCAAACCAGCCCAAGUUGGCACUGGUGCCAGCUUGGUCCUGGGAGGCAUCCUGCGAUAUGCGGAAUUUUAAAAGCCAGAAGGCUGCUCUGAGCCACAGCCCCUAGAACACAAAAACCGCCCCUUUUCCCUGGGAAAUAAAACUCACCAACCCUAGUUCAUGGUGUCAGUUUGCAGGAGGUACUUGGCACUCUCAAACCAGCCCAAGUUGGCACUGGUGCCAGCUUGGUCCUGGGAGGCAUCCUGCGAUAUGCGGAAUUUUAAAAGCCAGAAGGCUGCUCUGAGCCACCUGCCUGGAACAAAAAACCGCCCCUUUUCCCAGUUUGCAGGAGGUACUUGGCACUCUCAAACCAGCCUGAGUUGGCACUGGUGCCAGCUUGUUCCUGGGAGGCAUCCUGCGAUAUGCGGAAUUUUAAAAGCCAGAAGGCUGCUCUGAGCCAUUGGCCCUGCAACACCAACGCUGCCCCUUUUUCCAGUUUGCAGGAGGUACUUGGCACUCUCAAACCAGCCCAAGUUGGCACUGGUGCCAGCUUGUUCCUGGGAGGCAUCCUGCGAU